UACGAAGGGGGCUAGCGUUGUUCGGAAUCACUGGGCGUAAAGCGCAUGCAGGCGGAUUGUUAAGUCGGGGGUGAAAGCCCAGGGCUCAACCCUGGAAUGGCCUUCGAUACUGGAGAUCUUGAGACCGGAAGAGGUAAGUGGAACUGCGAGUGUAGAGGUGAAAUUCGUAGAUAUUCGCAAGAACACCAGUGGCGAAGGCGGCUUACUGGUCCGGUUCUGACGCUGAGGCGCGAAAGCGUGGGGAGCAAACAGG
rnacentral:rRNA from 1 species